GGACGGCACUGUUCUUCCGCCGGGGGAGCCAUCGGAAGUAGUUCACACCCUUCAAUGGGGGCUUCUCCGGGUAUGUCGUUGUACGCUUUACAUUCUUCCUUUUGCUCCAGAUUCUUAUAGGAGCGUAUAAUUUUUGUGCAGACUAUCUCUCAGUUAUUCCAUCUUGGUGAACGACUAUCCAACGAGAGUCCAGUGGCUAGUCGAGAGGAACUUG
rnacentral:lncRNA from 1 species